UUGAUCGGCCGGCUUUCGCAGGGAAGGGAGUGGGGCGAACAUGGCUGAAAGCUUCCCAGGCGGCCCAACGUGCGGCAGGAUGGGUGGCAGGCAGGACCCGAUCCCCAACAGUGGCGGCUGCAAUUUUCCAGAGUAUGAGCUUCCUGAGCUAAACACGCGCGCUUUCCACGUGGGCGCCUUCGGGGAGCUGUGGCGUGGCCGGCUGCGCGGGGAAGGGGACUUGUCGCUGAAGGAGCCGCAGGCACCGGCGCUGCCUGGGGACCAAGAGGUCGCCGACUCCGGCCUGGAGGAUGCAGCCGUGGCCCGGGAUCUGGGCUGUAGUCUGGGGGCGGCAGCCGAGCUGAGGGCGGUGUGCGGCCUUGAUAAACUGAAGUGCCUCGAGGAAGGGGAGGAUCCGGAAGUCAUCCCAGAGGAUGCAGACCUAGUGACUUUGGGGGUUAGAAAGAGACUUCUGGAACAUCGGGAAGAAACCAUAACGAUAGAUCGGGUCUGCAGACAAGAGACAUUUGCUUAUGAGAUGGAGUCACAUGCCAUAGGAAAAAAGCCUGAAAAUCCAGCAGACAUGAUUGAAGAAGGAGAGCUUAUCCUAUCUGUGAAUAUCUUGUACCCUGUUAUAUUUCAUAAGCACAAAGAACACAAACCCUACCAGACGAUGCUGGUAUUGGGCAGUCAGAAGCUCACGGAACUGAGGGAUUCCAUUUGCUGUGUCAGUGACCUCCAGAUAGGUGGGGAAUUCAGCAACACUCCUGACCAAGCUCCUGAGCACAUCAGCAAAGACCUGUACAAAUCAGCCUUCUUUUAUUUUGAAGGAACAUUUUACAAUGAUAAAAGGUACCCUGAGUGCAGAGAUUUGAGCAGAACCAUCAUUGAGUGGUCAGAGUCCCAUGAUAGAGGCUAUGGCAAGUUUCAGACUGCUAAGAUGGAAGAUUUCACCUUUAAUGACUUGUAUAUUAAACUGGGUUUUCCUUACUUAUACUGUCACCAGGGAGACUGUGAACACGUUGUUGUCAUUACUGACAUAAGGCUUGUGCAUCAUGAUGACUGCUUGGAUAGGACACUUUAUCCCCUUCUUAUCAAGAAGCACUGGCUCUGGACCAGAAAAUGUUUUGUUUGUAAAAUGUACACUGCUAGAUGGGUGACGAACAAUGACAGUUUUGCACCAGAGGACCCAUGUUUCUUUUGUGAUGUUUGCUUCCGAAUGCUUCACUAUGAUUCAGAAGGCAACAAACUGGGGGAAUUCCUCGCUUAUCCUUAUGUUGAUCCUGGAACCUUUAAUUAAUAACAAAAGUGUACCCUUGUGAAAUAAUUGUCCUCUUGGAUGGUUACUUCACUUCCAAGAAAUGCCACUGAGGAACAGGAUCAACUUGAAGCAGUUAACUAAAGUUACCAGCCCUGCAAAAGUUCAAAUCGCAGAUUUUCCUAUAAAGAAACUUGAGUGUAUUUAAAUGCUUUGAAAUAUAUUAUUUUAGUAUUUAUUCCAAAGUACAUUUUUUAUUCCAUGCUUUUUGCCCAUUUUUAAGUGAAUUGUCUCACUGAGUUGUAGGAGUACUGUAUGUAUUCUGAAUACAUAUCCUUUGUCAGAUACAAGUAUUUUGGUUUUCUCCCAGUCUGGUUUGCCUAUUCAUUCUGUGUCCAGAGGGCUUUUUGUUCAUUAUUAGCAAAGUUCUCUUAACGUUACAUCAAGUGAUGGAAGUGUUUUGAAAAUUCUUUGAAGAAUGUGAGAGCUACACCUUGUACCAUGAGGCCUCCAAGGUUAUAUUUAAAUAAAUCUGAAUUCUACACUCCCUGGAUGGCUAAGAAAAGACAUUACCAUAUAAAUCAGAAACUGAUGAAGCCUGUAAGACUAUGUGUUUAAAAGGUUGACACUGAAAUGUUUUAUGGACUUAAUUGCCACAUAUCCAGUUAAGUCAACUGGUAUAAAGAAGACCAGUACCUAUUUCUACCAGUGGUUGCAUUAAGGAACUAAGAUCCCCUCCAUGGCUGGCUGGCUGUUACUGCCUAAAAGUUUACUUUCAUGUUUCCAAUGAUGCUAAAUUUGAACAGAUUGAAAAAUUCUGCUGGAAAACCAUAGAUUUACCUAAUUCCUUAAAGUUCCACAGAUCAUCCUUUCUCUGGCCAAUGGGACAAAGUAAGUUGUGUUAGUGAAGCCCUCACAGAGCCUUGUAAAAGCCUUUGCUCUUGUACAGGAUUAGAUGGCAGACCUCAUCUUGACCUGACUUCUUGAACGAGGUAAGUGUGUGUGGGUACACUACAAUCGAUGUUAUGAGCAAAAACUCGAUAAAAUCUAAGGAUAUAAUAGCAAAUAUAAGGCUUAAGGUGCUCCAGUCAAGCUGUUUGCACAAAGUCCCAUUCAGGUUCUCCAAUUUAAAUGAUAUACCUGAAAUUUCUCCACAGUAGCUGAGAAAACAUGCAACAGUUGAUUCUACUGGGUCAUGCAUAGCAUUAUCCGAUGGUUAAAAAAAUCAGGAGAAAAAAUAAAGAUAUUACUUAUACAUACAAAAAGUAUGCUGGAGGGGAGUCUAGGCAUCUCAUUUACAGUAUCUCUUAUUGACUUAUUCAGCUAAUGGAAUUUUAACCAAAUACAAAUUUAAAUUGUGCUAGAGCUCCUGAAAAUUUAUAAUUGUUUAUAUGACUUCUUCUUAAGCAUUCUGAGUGGUAGUUAUCUGAGAAUUAACUUAUGACCAAAAGAAAUUUCUUGAAAUGAGGGUAAAGAAAAGCCAACUGUGUUUUAAGACUACAUAAAUCAACUGGCUAGAGCAAGGUCAGCCCAUAAAUUAUCAGAAUGCUAUUUAUUAUGUCUCUCUCCCCAGUAUGUAAACUAAAUACAGCCUGUGGUUUCUUGGUUAAACUAUGUAACAUUUCCUUUAUUUUUGUCAUUUUGAGCUUAGAUUUUAGUAACCGUGUGUCCCCAAAUACAAUUUCUAUGACCAAAUUAUACACUCUUGGAAGCAAAUCCAGAAUUCUAUCAUACUACUGUAAAUGGCAAAUAAGUAAUUUACUAGUAGAGUUUGAUAGAAAAAUUCUUUAAUCAAAACAAGUUUACAUGUUGAUACUUAUGGCUUAACUAGAAUAAAUCUGUCCAAAUUUAAAUUGUAUUAAGGACCAAACAGAUAUAAUGUAAUAGCAAGAGUUCCCUCAAAACAGUGGGUCCUAGUUCCAUUGUAAGACCUCUCAAAAGCAAAACUCCAGUUACUGAAAUAAUUCAAACUUUUCAUCUAUGGUGAAAACAAUUACCCGAGAGAUCAAAGCAUACAAUGCAUGUCACAUGCAAACACUGGUAUUAAGCCUUUCCCCCAUAUUUAUAGUUACCAAACAUGAGAAGUAUCUUUAAGCUAUUGCAAACCACCAACUGACCUAAUGUUCAAAAUAUCUUAGAAAUGCUAUCUGUAAGUUACCCUUAAACUGUGUUAACCUUGGUUCACCCUGAUUAAGUCCGUAACAUGAAUACACAGACAACUCCUUUACUUUUGUCUACUGCCUCAGAGUAACUAGUGUUUCCACUUUUUGCAAUCCUGUCACAUGUAUGACAUAGAAAUAAAAAUUCCCUUCUGAUACAGCCAAGUUUUCAAAUAGGUUAGUUUCCUUAUAUAUUUACUUUUAUUUACUGCAAACGCAUCAUGGAUUGCUAUUUUUCCAAUUAAAAAAAUACUUAGUGACUUCUUUAAUGAGUGUGACUUUUUAAAAAAUUCAGAAACUUGAGACAUUUCGCAAAAAUAAACUUUUAUCAUUUAGGUUUCAGUUUCAGCUACUAGUGCCUGUAAAGGAUCUUAAAUGGUUGGACCCUAAAGCCAGAUUCAUUUCUAUAUAUAUACACACACACUCCUGCUUACUGCAGGAAAGUCAUGUGACUUCACUGAAUUCCCAGCCACAAAACUAAAUCGCCUUCAAAAGUUAACAUGAGUUUUGUACCUCCUAGAAUUGUCAGUUCAAUGUCAGUUGGAUAUCUAGUUGUCAUACAAAAAGACAUUACAGACCACACACAUUAUUACAAAGCAGCAGGAUAAUGCAGCACAAGGUAGACUGUGAGAUUAAAAUUAACUUUUGAUAAAAGGGGGGAGUGAGCACUUG